rnacentral:rRNA from 1 species
GAGUUGAUCGUGGCUCAGGACGAACGCUGGCGGCGUGCCUAAUACAUGCAAGUCGAGCGGAUCUUCAUUAGCUUGCUUUUGAAGAUCAGCGGCGGACGGGUGAGUAACACGUGGGCAACCUGCCUGUAAGACUGGGAUAACUUCGGGAAACCGGAGCUAAUACCGGAUGAUCCUUUUCCUCUCAUGAGGAAAAGCUGAAAGACGGUUUCGGCUGUCACUUACAGAUGGGCCCGCGGCGCAUUAGCUAGUUGGUGAGGUAACGGCUCACCAAGGCGACGAUGCGUAGCCGACCUGAGAGGGUGAUCGGCCACACUGGGACUGAGACACGGCCCAGACUCCUACGGGAGGCAGCAGUAGGGAAUCUUCCGCAAUGGACGAAAGUCUGACGGAGCAACGCCGCGUGAGCGAUGAAGGCCUUGGUCGUAAGCGUCUGUUGUCAGGAGAACAAGUAUCGGAGUAACUGCCGGUACC